AUGAUUGAAGAUCAAAAAACUCAAGAUGAGCUUAUUGAUGAACUCGACAAAUACGAGGCGGGGGAAGAUUCCUUUGGAAUGGACAUUGCUGUACGACAGAGAAAAAGGAAAAACUUUUCUCCAGCGAAAUGGUGGCUGAAUUAUGGCACAUGUGCACCCCUGUUGAAGGACUUGGCAAUGAAGAUUUUGAGUUUGACAUGUAGCUCCUCAGCUUGUGAGAGAAAUUGGUCAGCAUUUGAACAAGUUCAUACAAAGAAACGCAGCAGGCUACUCCAUGAUAGGAUGAGUGAUUUUGUAUUUAUCAAGUUCAACUCUAGGAUGAAGCAUAAGAGAGAGAACAAGAGUAGAGACCCAAUAGAGAAGACAAUCGUUGAUGUUCUUGAGGACGAGGAUAACGAGUUCAUCACCGACAUUGUUGGAAAUGAUAAUGUUGUUGAACAUGUUGGUGAUGAAGAUCAAACUCAACAAGAGAGAGCUUCAACAUCACAAGAACAAGGGAAAAAGAAGAAAAGGCCUACUGCGCCCCCUAGAAAGAAGAGGAAGAAGAGCUUGCAAUCUCUCCUUAAUAGUGUCGAUGAGGAAGCUAUACUUUCUGCCUCUUCCAAUUCUUCUUCGUCGGAAUCAGAAGAUGAGUCUCCCUCGGCCCUUGCUGACUCAGAUUAA
rnacentral:rRNA from 1 species